rnacentral:rRNA from 1 species
AGUGAACGCUGGCGGUAGGCCUAACACAUGCAAGUCGAGCGGCAGCACAGUAAGAGCUUGCUCUUACGGGUGGCGAGUGGCGGACGGGUGAGGAAUACAUCGGAAUCUACUUUUUCGUGGGGGAUAACGUAGGAAAACUUACGCUAAUACCGCAUACGACCUACGGGUGAAAGCAGGGGAUCUUCGGACCUUGCGCGAUUGAAUGAGCCGAUGUCGGAUUAGCUAGUUGGCGGGGUAAAGGCCCACCAAGGCGACGAUCCGUAGCUGGUCUGAGAGGAUGAUCAGCCACACUGGAACUGAGACACGGUCCAGACUCCUACGGGAGGCAGCAGUGGGGAAUAUUGGACAAUGGGCGCAAGCCUGAUCCAGCCAUACCGCGUGGGUGAAGAAGGCCUUCGGGUUGUAAAGCCCUUUUGUUGGGAAAGAAAAGCAGCAGGUUAAUACCCCGCUGUUCUGACGGUACCCAAAGAAUAAGCACCGGCUAACUUCGUG